GCUUGUCUCAAAGAUUAAGCCAUGCAUGUCUAAGUAUAAACAAAUCUAUACGUGAAACUGCGAAUGGCUCAUUAUAUCAGUUAUAGUUUAUUUGAUGGUUCAUACUACUUGGAUAACCGUAGUAAUUCUAGAGCUAAUACAUGCGUCAAAACCCGACUCCUGGGAGGGUUGUAUUUAUUAGAUGGAAACCAAUGCGGGGCAACCCGGUAUAUGGUGAUUCAUAAUAACUUUCGGAUCGAUCUUCGGAUCGAUGCAUCAUUCAAGUUUCUGCCCUAUCAGCUUUCGAUGGUAGUGUAUUGGACUACCAUGGCUAUUACGGGUAACGGAGGAUUAGGGUUCGAUUCCGGAGAGGGAGCCUGAGAAACGGCUACCACAUCUAAGGAAGGCAGCAGG
rnacentral:rRNA from 1 species